GCGGCGUGCUUAACACAUGCAAGUCGAACGAACCUUCGGGUUAGUGGCGGACGGGUGAGUAACGCGUGAGAAUCUGCCCUCAGGAGGGGGAUAACGGUUGGAAACGACCGCUAAUACCCCAUAUGCCGCGAGGUGAAAUGAAUUUCGCCUGAGGAUGAGCUCGCGUCUGAUUAGUUAGUUGGUGGGGUAAAGGCCUACCAAGACAUCGAUCAGUAGCUGGUCUGAGAGGAUGAUCAGCCACACUGGGACUGAGACACGGCCCAGACUCCUACGGGAGGCAGCAGUGGGGAAUUUUCCGCAAUGGGCGAAAGCCUGACGGAGCAACGCCGCGUGAGGGAUGAAGGCCUCUGGGCUGUAAACCUCUUUUAUCAAGGAAGAAGAUCUGACGGUACUUGAUGAAUAAGCCACGGCUAAUUCCGUGCCAGCAGCCGCGGUAAUACGGGAGUGGCAAGCGUUAUCCGGAAUUAUUGGGCGUAAAGCGUCCGCAGGCGGUCUGUCAAGUCUGCUGUUAAAGCGUGGAGCUUAACUCCAUUUCGGCAGUGGAAACUGACAGACUAGAGUGUGGUAGGGGCAGAGGGAAUUCCCGGUGUAGCGGUGAAAUGCGUAGAUAUCGGGAAGAACACCAGUGGCGAAGGCGCUCUGCUGGGCCAUAACUGACGCUCAUGGACGAAAGCCAGGGGAGCGAAAGGGAUUAGAUACCCCUGUAGUCCUGGCCGUAAACGAUGAACACUAGGUGUCGGGGGAAUCGACCCCCUCGGUGUCGUAGCCAACGCGUUAAGUGUUCCGCCUGGGGAGUACGCACGCAAGUGUGAAACUCAAAGGAAUUGACGGGGGCCCGCACAAGCGGUGGAGUAUGUGGUUUAAUUCGAUGCAACGCGAAGAACCUUACCAGGGUUUGACAUCCUGCGAAUCUCUUGGAAACGAGAGAGUGCCUUCGGGAACGCAGUGACAGGUGGUGCAUGGCUGUCGUCAGCUCGUGUCGUGAGAUGUUGGGUUAAGUCCCGCGACGAGCGCAACCCACGUCGUUAGUUGCCAGCAUUGAGUUGGGCACUCUAGCGAGACCGCCGGUGAUAAACCGGAGGAAGGUGUGGAUGACGUCAAGUCAUCAUGCCCCUUACAUCCUGGGCUACACACGUACUACAAUGCUACGGACAAAGGGCAGCAAACUCGCGAGAGCUAGCAAAUCCCAUAAACCGUGGCUCAGUUCAGAUCGUAGGCUGCAACUCGCCUACGUGAAGGAGGAAUCGCUAGUAAUCGCAGGUCAGCAUACUGCGGUGAAUACGUUCCCGGGCCUUGUACACACCGCCCGUCACACCAUGGAAGUUGGCCACGCCCGAAGCCGUUACUCCAACCCUUGUGGAGGAGGACGUCGAAGGUGGGGCUGAUGACUGGGGUGAAGUCGUAACAAGGUAGCCGUACCGGAAGGUGCGGCUGGAUCACCUCCUA
rnacentral:rRNA from 1 species